rnacentral:rRNA from 1 species
CGGAAGGUUAAUUGAUGGGGUCAGCGCAAGCGAAGCUCUUGAUCGAAGCCCCGGUAAACGGCGGCCGUAACAAUAACGGUCCUAAGGUAGCGAAAUUCCUUGUCGGGUAAGUUCCGACCUGCACGAAUGGCAUAAUGAUGGCGGCGCUGUCUCCAGCAGAGGCUCAGUGAAAUCGAAAUCGCUGUGAAGAUGCAGUGUACCCGCGGCUAGACGGAAAGACCCCGUGAACCUUUACUGCAGCUUGACACUGAACUUUGACCUUACUUGUGUAGGAUAGGUGGGAGGCUUUGAAGCUGGAACGCUAGUUCCAGUGGAGCCGUCCUUGAAAUACCACCCUGGUAAUGUUGAGGUUCUAACUCUGUCCCGUGAUCCGGGACGAGGACCGUGUCUGGUGGGUAGUUUGACUGGGGCGGUCUCCUCCUAAAGAGUAACGGAGGAGUACGAAGGUGCGCUCAGCGUGGUCGGAAAUCACGCGUAGAGUAUAAAGGCAAAAGCGCGCUUAACUGCGAGACCCACA